CGCAUCGAUGAAGAACGCAGCGAAAUGCGAUAAGUAAUGUGAAUUGCAGAAUUCAGUGAAUCAUCGAAUCUUUGAACGCACCUUGCGCUCCUUGGUAUUCCGAGGAGCAUGCCUGUUUGAGUGUCAUUAAAUUCUCAACCUCAUCAGUUUUGUUAUGAGACUGUGUGAGGCUUGGAUGUGGGGGUUUUUGCAGGCUGCCUCAGUGCGGUCUGCUCCCCUGAAAUGCAUUAGCGAGUUCCAACUGGGCUCCGUCUAUUGGUGUGAUAAUUAUCUACGCCGUGGAUUGGGCUUAGACUUGCUUCUAACCGUCCGCAAGGACAAUCUUUUGACAAUUUGACCUCAAAUCAGGUAGGACUACCCGCUGAACUUAAGCAUAUCAAUAAGCGGAGGAAAAGAAACU
rnacentral:rRNA from 1 species